CUGGCCCACUACCUGGCACCGCAAAGAGUAGCCCCCACAGGGCUGGCCUUUUUCUUUUACGAAGGACCCAGCCAUGUGAUGUCACUAUCCUCACACAAUCCUGUGGCCUGGCAUCAGUUUACAGAAGACAGUUUGGAUCAUCACAGGGCAGGACCUGGGGGAAAGGUCAUGUGUGGCCUCCUGGAUUCCCUUUAUCAGCCCUGUGCAGAGGAGCUCUCCGGACCAAGCCGCUUCUCUGUUUUUGUACCAGUCCCUGUAACAGGCUUCUGUGAGGUGGGAGCAGCUGAGGAUUGCAGUUUCCUUCAAGGCCUAAUGAGGUGAAAGGGGCCUGGGGGUGAUUCAGGUCAGUGUGCUUGGAGCGUGUUCAUCUUCCAGGAGAGAAUUAUAUGAACAGUCACCUCAGGUUUCCUUUGUAGACACGCUCUAAGGUGUGUUUAAGUUUGCGUGGCUAAAGCCUGUUGGGGCACAGGCUGGAGCCCAGUCCAGAG
rnacentral:lncRNA from 1 species